rnacentral:rRNA from 1 species
UACAGAGGUCCCAAGCGUUGUUCGGAUUCACUGGGCGUAAAGGGCGCGUAGGCGGAAUGCUUUGUCGGGCGUGAAAUUCCAGGGCUCAACCUUGGGGCUGCGUUCGAGACGGGUAUUCUAGAGUGGGGAAGAGGGUCGUGGAAUUCCCAGUGUAGAGGUGAAAUUCGUAGAUAUUGGGAAGAACACCGGUGGCGAAGGCGGCGACCUGGUCCUUUUACUGACGCUGAGGCGCGAAAGCGUGGGGAGCAAACAGG